CUGAACUAAGAUCUAUGCUAAUCUUCCUCUUUUAUUUUCGUAUGGGGGACACCAUCACAGCAUGGCUAGAUAAGCAGUGUGUAGGUCCACGCCCAGGAUCCCAACCUACAGACCCUGUCCACCAAAGCAGAGUGCAUGUACUUAACCACUAUGCCACCAGGAUGACCCUAGAGAGAGUCUCAAAUGGGUUCCACCUCCCACAAAGAAACCAAGAGGGCAGAUUCUCUCAACUCCCUGUCUGCUAGGGCUCAGUUAUCAAGGUUCCUUCACAUAACUCUCCAUUUCUAAAGAACUGGUAAAAUAGAAUCAGC
rnacentral:lncRNA from 1 species